AUGCGGCUAAACGAUCUUAUUAGGGAAGGUGGGGUCACCCAGCUCCAAUUUGUUGAUGAUACCAUCCUUAUGGUAGAAGGAUCAGACACAGAUAUCCAACACAUCAUAUUCAUGCUUCUCUGCUUCGAAGAAAUGUCAGGUCUGAGUGUCAACUAUAGCAAGGGCGAAGUCAUGGUGCUUGGGUAUUCCGACAUUGAGCGACUAAGUUGUUGCCUUGGGUCCUUUCCGACAUCCUUUCUAGAUAUGCCAAUUAGUGACUCCCGGCUGCUAGUAAAGGACUUUCGCCCUACGGUUACCAAGUCAAAACGAGUUCAUACUUGGGUUUCCUGGAACUCGGCGGGCACGAGGUGCAGGAGAGAAAAUCGGGAGGCGACGCUGGAUGACAGAGACGACACGGGCUCCUGCUCCUGCGAGACUUCAGCCAGCGGCGAAACUGCUCCGGCUAGGCACGAGGAGGGGAAGCAGAGCAGGCAGCAAGGAGCUACGAUGGGGCAGCAGCCGACAACAGCUCUAGUGGUCGGCGUGGUUGAGGACGGAGGCGAAGAAGCGAGGCUCGCGAGCAGAGGAUGCAGGGUCGAGCCGACUCGGGCGCGGAGGCAGGGGAUCGGCGACUCGCGUGACGCAGGGGCGACGAGGCUCGCAGCGGAGGUCCGGGACCCGGCGCGACGGAGAAGUACGACGGCUGCAGGCAUAGGUGGAGGAGGAGCUGUAGGAGAGCGGCCGGAGACGCUGCGCUGCUCGCUGGCGCGAGGGGAGAGGGGCGACGGGCGUGCGGCUCCAGGGACGGUGUGGCCCAGGGCUCACGCGCCAAGGCGAGGUGGAGGAGGAGCUGAGGAUGGGGAUGCCGACGUGAUCGCGCGCACAGGGUGGCGACGGACUGGAGAGCGGACGGCAGAGGCGGAGAGCUUCGAGCUCGGCUGCCUGAGGCCAUGGAAGACAGCGACAAGGACUUGGGGGGCACCGGCGACGCUUGGUGCGAUGCAAGGCCCUGACCAAUUGCAUAUCUCAACAAAGCCAUCAACCCUAUCUCUUUGGGAAAAUCCAUUUAUGAGAAAGAAGCUAUGGCUGUGUUGGGAUAUCAAGAAGGACCUUCUUACACCAAGUGAUGUCCGUCUAAGUGCUCUUAAACAAGACUUUGUCAUGUCUUGUUCCAGGGCAUCAUCCACAGAGUUCAACCAGAACCGUGUCUGUGAGCUUCUCCAUUUUGUGGAUCACUUUGGUGCCAAUCGACAGAGAUAUGAUAAAUUAAGAACCAUGCGUAAAUUCAAAUGUUUGCACUCUCAUGGAUGUACUCUGGAGAUGGACGCGCUGGUCAUCAGGCUAUAUUCGGUGAUGCUUUGGGCAUGGAGUAUGAAAAGCUUGUCACUCUCAUGCAGGGGCAAUUUUUUUUCUCUGCCGGUUCAUGCACUACGCUGGCAGUACGCACGCAGCACUGCCAUCACACUGGCAUCGCAGUAUCCACUGCUAUCGUUGAGCCAAAAAAGAGAGGUUGCAGCACGUUGUGCCCACACUCCCGUGUUCGGGCUGGUUUGCUGCUUGCAGAUCGACACGGGUGCACAAUUUGGGGCCACCUUCCCGCUCUCCCUCUCACGUCGUUCAUAUAAGGCGCUGCCACCGGCUCCGGCCGGGAAGCGCAGCGAUCGAACACGAGCUACAACGAGAGGAGGGGCCAGAAACAGUAGACCUACGGCCAUGGGAGGCAAGGCGAGGAGGCCCUGCGCGCUGCUGCUCGUUCUGCUCUGCAUGGCCGCGCGCAUCCAUGGCGCGUGCUGCUUUGGCGGAGGGCACGGAGGCGCAGCGGGCGGCGGAGGCCACGGAGGCGGAGUGGGCGGCGGAGGUCACGAAGGAGGAGCGGCUGGCGGUGGCCACGAUGGCGGCGUUGGCGGCGGCGGGAGGGACGGAGAAGGUGACGGGACAGGAGGCGGCGGAAGCGGCGGCCGGAGGGAAGGCGGCGGCGGCGCUGCGAUUAUUCCGGGGGCGGGCGGACACAGCAGGCCGGCUGGUUCUCGUGCCGGCCGCCGGGUCGGCAGGAGUGUUCCCGGCGCCGCCUCCCUCGCGGCCGCGGCGCUCGUCUGGUGGCUCUGA
rnacentral:rRNA from 1 species